GCAUUGAAACAAGGGUGUGUCUUGAGCUACUUACGUUUUGGAAAUACAAUACUGGCAGGAUACUAUAGGAGACUGCAGUGGGAGAAAAAUUGUCCGCAGGACCAAGAAUAAGACCGAGUCCUGCAAACGUAGAAGGUCUCAAGAAAACCACUUCAUCAAUACUCACACAGGAGCAGAUCCUAUCGUCUACAGCCACAGCUUCCCAGCAUUGGUGGAAAAGGUCAGCUUGCAAUCAGUCAGCCCGUGCAUACUGGAAAAUUGGAAUAAAAAACAACUAAGAUUCAGGAGAGGGUCAUGGAGGAAAGAAAAUGAGCACCAUGGAACAGUUGCCUGAGAAGACAGGCUCAGGUCAUAAAGACACCUGCCACAUACAGGUGUUUGAGUGUUAAAUACAAUACCUGCAAAGUUCUUAGAAGAGCACCUGACACACAGGAAGUCCUCAAUAAAAGGUAACUAUUGUUAUUGUUUUUAUUAAAUCAAUUGCAAAAACCAUGCCUUCCUUUUGUGUAAAUAUAAAAACAACAGCAUAAAGUAGAUGUGCUAAAGCCAAGUGAGUAGAUUUUUGUUUAAAAAGCACUCUAGUGGAGUUAGGAGAACGGUAUGAUGAAGGGCAGCCAGCAACUGAAAGCAUUUCCUGCAAGAAAAGGGACUUUACAACAAUUAGCCUUUCGGUAAGUUGAUGCUUAUAAUUUGUGAAGGUCUUUCACAACCAUUAUUUCAUUUGUGCUUUGUAAAAUCUAAAGAGGUUGAAAGAAGAGGAGAGACAGCAGAGGAUGGGGCUGAAAAUGUAUAAUCUUUGGAGGUGACAGCUCUGGCUUGAAGUCCUAACAGACAUUUAUUACCUGUGUGUGAUCUUAAUCAAGUUACAUAACCUGCCUGAGCUUCCAUUUUCUACAGCCAUAAAGUGGAGAGAAAAUGAGAUAUUGUAUGUAAAGCUCUUAGCACAAUGUCUGGAACGUGGUCAGUGAGCAAUAAAUGUAACUAUUAUUGUUGUGAAUAAACCAAGCCUCUGAGUUUGCACACAGCAAGGAGCUGAGCUGUGCUUUGAGCCUCGCCUGGUUUUCUAAGCCCAGACCCAUUGAUUUACUUGAUUAAGUUCUCACAAAUCUCAGAGAGUUAACAUUUUAUCACAAUCCAUACUCGAAUUUCUUUAAACCCUAUUAAUUUACCCAUAAAACCUUGCUUUCCAUUGUCAAGAAUAAGCACUUUGAAACUUGGCUAACCAGCUAUGUUGAUAAAAUAGCACGCCAGUAGAUGCCAUUGUGCUUGAAUUAUUUAUCUGGAAACGACUUCUGGCUACAGCACGAGUUGAUUCCUUAGGUGCUUAGUUUGGAUCACGUAGUUAAACUUACCAAGCAGCUGUUGGUGCUGAAGGCUGUGAAUGUAGCGGGUCUGCAGGGCCUCCCACUGGGGCCUGGAGUUGUAAAUCCUCAUAAUGCUGUAAAAGUAGCGCUGUUGCCCUUGGUUGAGGGCCUGUUGGAACAGAACAGGUGAUUUUGAUGAGUGUGUGGAGUUCCACAGCAUUCAAAUUGUGAUACUCAAAGCAAACUUUUAUGGAAAUAAGAGGCUUUUCUUGCUAACCAUAUGUUUUUUUUUUUUAAUGUGCAACAAUUGGAAAAUAACAACUGGGGAGUUUCCUCUCUUCAUUUGCUUAAACAGUCUUCUGCUAAUCUGUAUGAUGAUGAAAAUAUGUGAGUAAAAAAUUCUAGGUAAUUGUCUUGAACUGAGGGACAUCUAAGGAUUUCCAGGAUCUUAUAAUUUCUUUGAUCCUUAUUGAGGAAAGUAGGUUGUAAUAAGCUACACAGAGCUGAAGUAUGCCAGGCCUCUGGACUGGUAGAAAAUUUUCCACUGUAAGUUCUCAGUAAGCAAGGGAGAUAGAUGGAUGAGUAAUGUGGUAAGGGUUCAUUAUAUCAUUAGUAAAAAGGUGCCAUGAAAACAAACAAUGUAAACAAGCAGUCAGGGAAGGUUUUCUAAAUGAGAUGAUCAUCUUAUCUGAGUCUUAGAUGAGGAGUUUCCUUAAGGGACUAGAAUACUGGUUCUCAAACGGCAUACACAACAUCUGGAAACCUGCUAGAAAUUCUAACAUUUUUUCUUUUUAGUUCAAAGGGAAGAGAGUCUGAUUGUGAAAAGACUGUUAGGGGAAGAUGAUGGAAACCUUUUAACUAUGUUGAGUUUAAGGAUUAAAUAUUCUAUGAGGAGCCACCAAAGGUCUUUAUUUAAGGCAGUGGCUCUCAACAGGGAUGAUUUUGACCCCAGGGGACAUUUGGCAAUGCCUGCAAAAUUUUUUUAUUGUCCUAAUUGGUGGGAGGAGGAGGGGGUGCUCCUGGCAUUCAGUGAGUAGAGGCCUGGGAUGUGCUUAGCAUCCUGUAAUGCACAGGACAGCUUCCCACGCCUUUCCAGCAAAUGAUCCAACCUGAAACACCAUACUCUUAACUG
rnacentral:lncRNA from 1 species